UACGGGGGGGGCAAGCGUUGUUCGGAAUUACUGGGCGUAAAGGGCUCGUAGGCGGCCAACUAAGUCGGAUGUGAAAUCCCCAGGCUUAACCUGGGAACUGCAUCCGAUACUGGAUGGCUUGAAUCCGGGAGAGGGAUGCAGAAUUCCAGGUGUAGCGGUGAAAUGCGUAGAUAUCUGGAGGAAUACCGGUGGCGAAGGCGGCUCACUGGACCAUUACUGACGCUGAGGCACGAAAGCUAGGGGAGCAAACAGG
rnacentral:rRNA from 1 species